GGGCUCUUGAGCUGCUUCGUUGAUCGAGCCAACUCUCACUCUAUAGAGUGUACUUUCACUUCAAUAAACCUGCACUUUCGUUGCUUCCUUCCUUUGUUGCUUUGUGCAUUUUAUUAAAUCCUUUGUCCAACACGCCAAGAACCUGGACAACUCACAGUCACGACUUCCUAUCUGGUAAAGAAGUAGCUGAGGGAAACGCAGCUUUGUGAGGGAAGCCUGGAGCGUGAGAAAUCUGCUCACACUGGAUUCUGCCUCGGGCUCGACAGAAUGUCACAGCAGACCCGCGAUGUGACAGGCUCACUGGUGUACACACGGCUGUGUCGGCCAUGGCCCUGUCAGCUACCCUGAAGCUUCAGAUCUACUUCCUGGCUCAGACCACCUGCAACACACUGGUUUGGCAUCUAGCGGGUUGUGCUUGCAGAACAGCAGGCUGGCUCCGUGCACCUGCUCAGUGGGGCUGGGCUUUAGCAACCUGCAUUGAGGCUGCUCUUCUUAACUUUUCUCUAACUUGCUUCAUGAAAGUUAAUUCUGCUGGGACCCCACGAGGCAGCGGAGAGCCCACUCUGCCCAUGAUUGGUGCCCUGGGCUGGCACGCAGAGUUUAAUGGAGGAGCCCGGGAGAGAGGGAUGCCUGAGAACCAGGGAUGUGGGCUGGAGCAGUGCCACCUCCUCUAACUCACCCGCAAGCCCAGCCAACCGGCUAAACCUUCCCCACAGAGCCUCAGUCUCCUUAUCUGUAAAAUGGAUUACCUGGCACUUGUCCAGUCUUUCUGCAGUCAACAUCGCCCAGAUUCCAUGCAGAACCCUUUGCAGACUCCUGAGGAGGUACAGACAAGGAGUGUCCCUGUCCUCAUGGUGCUACAUGAAAAGGGAUCAGGACAGCAUAGUGUGUCCUCUGUCUUGAGAAGUUCGCAUCCAGCUCUGCCAUGGACCAGCCAUGCUCAUGGAUUGCCUCUCAUUUUGCUACGGACAGGAGACAGGAAAAUACUGGGUAGAAGAGGGCGGUUCCCGACAAAGGCCCCAACCUCAAGCCUGAAGACCCACGACCCUAAAUGAGGACAGCCAUUUCUGAUUUUGUGCCCAAAAAUUUGCCUUUUGGCCUGCCACACCCAACAUCUUGCCCCUAUAUAAACCCGAGACCUUAGCGGGCACACACACAAUCAGCCAAAUGUUGGGAUUAGCAGACCAGUGGACCAGCGGACCAGCAGACCAGUUAACGGUGGAACAACGCAGCAGAGAAAGAGAGAAGAGGAGGGAUGUCUGAAUGCCAAGGGGAAUUCGGCCGCGGGCAGUUAGAAAAGUCUGGCUGCUGGGCGGCCCGACUCUAGGGGAAGACCACCUUCCCACUCCAUCCCCUGUUCUGGCUCCCCAUCCAUCUCCCUGAGAGCCACCUCUACCACUCAAUAAAACCUUUCAUUCAUCCUUUGAGCCCAUAUGUGAUUUGAUUCUUUCAGGACGCUCAGCAAGAGCUCAGAAUAUAGAAGGUUGUCUCAGUGGUCCCCUGCCCUUGCGAUAAGGCAGAGGGUCCAUUGAGCU
rnacentral:lncRNA from 1 species